rnacentral:rRNA from 1 species
AUUGAACGCUGGCGGCAGGCCUAACACAUGCAAGUCGAACGGUAACAGGAAACAGCUUGCUGUUUCGCUGACGAGUGGCGGACGGGUGAGUAAUGUCUGGGAAACUGCCUGAUGGAGGGGGAUAACUACUGGAAACGGUAGCUAAUACCGCAUAACGUCGCAAGACCAAAGAGGGGGACCCUCGGGCCUCUUGCCAUCGGAUGUGCCCAGAUGGGAUUAGCUUGUUGGUGGGGUAACGGCUCACCAAGGCGACGAUCCCUAGCUGGUCUGAGAGGAUGACCAGCCACACUCGAACUGAGACACGGUCCAGACUCCUACGGGAGGCAGCAGUGGGGAAUAUUGCACAAUGGGCGCAAGCCUGAUGCAGCCAUGCCGCGUGUAUGAAGAAGGCCUUCGGGUUGUAAAGUACUUUCAGCGGGGAGGAAGGGAGUAAAGUUAAUACCUUUGCUCAUUGACGUUACCCGCAGAAGAAGCACCGGCUAACUCCGUG